rnacentral:tRNA from 1 species
AGAAAGAUAAGCUAAGUCUAAGCUCAUAGGUUCAUACCCUAUUUAUGGUCCCGGCCUCUUUCUA